CCUACGGGAGGCAGCAGUGGGGAAUUUUGGACAAUGGGCGCAAGCCUGAUCCAGCCAUUCCGCGUGAGUGAAGAAGGCCUUCGGGUUGUAAAGCUCUUUCGCAAGGGAAGAAAACUUAGUCUCUAACAUAGACUGAGGUUGACGGUACCUUGAUAAGAAGCACCGGCUAACUACGUGCCAGCAGCCGCGGUAAUACGUAGGGUGCGAGCGUUAAUCGGAAUUACUGGGCGUAAAGCGUGCGCAGGCUGUUUUGUAAGUCAGAUGUGAAAUCCCUGAGCUCAACUUAGGAACUGCGUUUGAAACUACAAGACUAGAAUAUGUCAGAGGGGGGUAGAAUUCCACGUGUAGCAGUGAAAUGCGUAGAGAUGUGGAGGAAUACCAAUGGCGAAGGCAGCCCCCUGGGAUAAUAUUGACGCUCAUGCACGAAAGCGUGGGGAGCAAACAGGAUUAGAUACCCUGGUAGUCCACGCCCUAAACGAUGUCUACUAGUUGUUGGUGGAGUAAAAUCCAUGAGUAACGCGAGCGACGCGUGAGAGACGCCGUGGGUAGGUACGGUUCGCGAGAAGUUAAAACGUUAAAAGUUAGUUAGUUAGACGGCGUUGAGACGUUGCCGACGGACGACGACGAGGGAGGAGGAG
rnacentral:rRNA from 1 species